GGCGAGGUACCCAAGCCUGGCCCAAGGGGCUAGCCUGGAAAUUCAGAGAUGAAACUAGUUAGCUAGUGUGCGUCAGCACUCGCGGGUUCAAAUCCCGUCCUCGCCA
rnacentral:tRNA from 1 species